GUGGCGAACGGGUGAGUAAUGCAUCGGAACGUGCCACUGAGUGGGGGAUAACGUAGCGAAAGUUGCGCUAAUACCGCAUAUUCUGUGAGCAGGAAAGCAGGGGACCGCAAGGCCUUGCGCUCUUUGAGCGGCCGAUGUCAGAUUAGCUAGUUGGUGAGGUAAAGGCUUACCAAGGCGACGAUCUGUAGCGGGUCUGAGAGGAUGAUCCGCCACACUGGAACUGAGACACGGUCCAGACUCCUACGGGAGGCAGCAGUGGGGAAUUUUGGACAAUGGGGGCAACCCUGAUCCAGCCAUGCCGCGUGAGUGAAGAAGGCCUUCGGGUUGUAAAGCUCUUUCGGCCGGGAAGAAAUCGCAUGGGCCAAUACCCUGUGUGGAUGACGGUACCGGAAUAAGAAGCACCGGCUAACUACGUGCCCGCAGCCGCGGUAAUACGUAGGGUGCGAGCGUUAAUCGGAAUUACUGGGCGUAAAGCGUGCGCAGGCGGUUUUGUAAGACAGGCGUGAAAUCCCCGGGCUUAACCUGGGAACUGCGUUUGUGACUGCAAGGCUAGAGUACGGCAGAGGGGGGUGGAAUUCCACGUGUAGCAGUGAAAUGCGUAGAGAUGUGGAGGAACACCAAUGGCGAAGGCAGCCCCCUGGGUCGAUACUGACGCUCAUGCACGAAAGCGUGGGUAGCAAACAGGAUUAGAUACCCUGGUAGUCCACGCCCUAAACUAUGUCAACUAGGUGUUGGGUGGGUAAAACCAUUUAGUACCGUAGCUAACGCGUGAAGUUGACCGCCUGGGGAGUACGGCCGCAAGGUUAAAACUCAAAGGAAUUGACGGGACCCGCACAAGCGGUGGAUGAUGUGGAUUAAUUCGAUGCAACGCGAAAAACCUUACCUACCCUUGACAUGCCAGGAACUUGCCAGAGAUGGCUUGGUGCCCGAAAGGGAGCCUGGACACAGGUGCUGCAUGGCUGUCGUCAGCUCGUGUCGUGAGAUGUUGGGUUAAGUCCCGCAACGAGCGCAACCCUUGUCGUUAAUUGCCAUCAUUUAGUUGGGCACUUUAACGAGACUGCCGGUGACAAACCGGAGGAAGGUGGGGAUGACGUCAAGUCCUCAUGGCCCUUAUGGGUAGGGCUUCACACGUCAUACAAUGGUCGGUACAAAGGGUUGCCAAGCCGCGAGGCGGAGCUAAUCCCAGAAAGCCGAUCGUAGUCCGGAUUGCAGGCUGCAACUCGCCUGCAUGAAGUCGGAAUCGCUAGUAAUCGUGGAUCAGCAUGUCACGGUGAAUACGUUCCCGGGUCUUGUACACACCGCCCGUCACACCAUGGGAGCGGGUUCCGCCAGAAGUAGGUAGCCUAACCGCAAGGGGGGCGCUUACCACGGCGGGGUUCGUGACUGGGGUG
rnacentral:rRNA from 1 species